GCUCAACCGGGGAGGGUCAUUGGAAACUGGGAAACUUGAGUGCAGAAGAGGAGAGUGGAAUUCCACGUGUAGCGGUGAAAUGCGUAGAGAUGUGGAGGAACACCAGUGGCGAAGGCGACUCUCUGGUCUGUAACUGACGCUGAGGAGCGAAAGCGUGGGGAGCGAACAGGAUUAGAUACCCUGGUAGUCCACGCCGUAAACGAUGAGUGCUAAGUGUUAGGGGGUUUCCGCCCCUUAGUGCUGCAGCUAACGCAUUAAGCACUCCGCCUGGGGAGUACGGUCGCAAGACUGAAACUCAAAGGAAUUGACGGGGGCCCCCACAAGCGGUGGAGCAUGUGGUUUAAUUCGAAGCAACGCGAAGAACCUUACCAGGUCUUGACAUCCUCUGACAACCCUAGAGAUAGGGCUUUCCCUUCGGGGACAGAGUGACAGGUGGUGCAUGGUUGUCGUCAGCUCGUGUCGUGAGAUGUUGGGUUAAGUCCCGCAACGAGCGCAACCCUUGAUCUUGGUUGCCAGCAUUCAGUUGGGCACUCUAAGGUGACUGCCGGUGACAAACCGGAGGAAGGUGGGGAUGACGUCAAAUCAUCAUGCCCCUUAUGACCUGGGGCUACACACGUGCUACAAUGGACAGAACAAAG
rnacentral:rRNA from 1 species